UAGAGAUAGCUGGUUACUUAGGAAAAGGAUUUUAGUCCAACUUUAAAUCUUCUCAUGAUACCAAACAAACUAAUAGAUUUAAAUUUUAAUCAAAUAAGGUACAGCUUAUUUGACACAGGAUACAGCCUAUAAUACCGGGUAAUGUUUAAUUUCAUGACCAAGUGGGCCUAAGAGCAGCCACCUUUUAAAACGCGUUACAGCCUAAUCACUUCUUCCUAAUAAUCCCAAUUUAAACCCAAAACCCUUCCUCCACACUAAGUGACUCCAUACCAAUAUGGAAGACCUUAUGUUAGAACUAGUAACAAGAGCAAGCCUCUCCUACAAGCAAGUGUAAGCCGGAUCGAACCCAUCACCGGCAUUUACCGCCAAUGAACUACUAGUAGCAACCCUCACAAGAAAACCCUACUCACCACAGCGUUAACCUCACACUAGAACUUCCCAGGAAAGAUUAAAAAAGAAGGAAGGAACUCGGCAAAUCUUAACCUCGCCUGUUUACCAA
rnacentral:rRNA from 1 species